rnacentral:misc_RNA from 1 species
GAUGAAGAACGUAGCGAAAUGCGAUAAGUAAUGUGAAUUGCAGAAUUCAGUGAAUCAUCGAAUCUUUGAACGCACAUUGCGCCCAUCAGUAUUCUGUUGGGCAUGCCUGUCCGAGCGUCAUUUCAACCCUCAGGGCCCGUUCGCGGGAACUGGUGUUGGGGAUCGGCCUCCCCCCGGAGGCCGGCCCCGAAAUGCAGUGGCGGCUCUACCGCGAUCUCCUCUGUGUAGUAGCGAUACCUCGCAGCUGGAUAGUGGUGGUGCCACGCCGUAAAAUCCCAACUUUACCAAGGUUGACCUCGGAUCAGGUAGGAAUACCCGCUGAACUUAAGCAUAUCAAUAAGCGGAGGA